AGCCUUGCUUUCCGAGGGCGGCGUGCAGCCACAGUGCCCGCUGCGGGUGCUGGGGAAUGGCGCCUUACAGGCUGCCCACCUGCCUCCUCAGGGUGGAAGGCGGGGCUUGGGUGUGAGCGUGCUGAAUCAGAACUUUCCUGGAAAGUCGCCACUUGGUGUGGUCAGAGGAUCACUGAAGUAAGCGCUACACACAAAUCACCCCCAAAGUCGUGUUUUAAAUGCACCUGUAUUUGCUUAAACGAAAAUGUCAGAAGUAUUUGUCCUACAAGCAGUCUGAGUGGUUUGUCCCGCAGCUGGUCUGGUGACGCUGGCCCUCGCGGAUGUCUGCGUGUCGCUCACAUGUGAAUGAGUGAGCAACUGCACAGAGCCUGUGCUUAAGAUGGCAGGAUCGCAAGACAGAGCAACUGGAGCAAGUCCUCAUUAAGAAGAGCCGCCCGAUGCAUUUGGACUGCGAUGUGUUACGCCCAUGAGAUUUCAGGGUUAAUUUGUUACCUGGCCGUGGCCUAUCCUCUUCCAGCAGAUACAGAGGCUACUGCAGUUUGCAACUUUGCAGAUACCAGCAGAGGAAGAAAAACCUGGGAGACUGCUGCUAACCUAAUGUGGAGACUUGACUUAAACUUCAGCCAGACAAAGGCGGAAUCUUAAUAUGGAGGGGCCUGGCUCUGCAGGGAGGUCACCUGGGCUGGCUGGAUUUCAAUCCAGUUACACAGCAAAAAAGUUACAACCCAAGCUUUGGCGAUGCUGAGCCUUCUACUCUCAGGGAUUCCAAAGCAUUUGAUAAACUCUUUCUUUGUUCCAUUGUUUACUGACUUCCUAGUGCUUGUCUUGUUCUGCAGUUAUUUAUUUAUUUUUAUUUAUUAGUUUUUACUUAUGAUCUACCCCUCUCUCCCAUCUCCCCGCAACCUGAAGGCGCCACUCAAUGGAGUUUAAGCCAUUCUCCAUAGGCAGGGAGAUGUUGCAGCGUCCAAUGGUGGGGGUGAUGGUGCCCGCUAGGACAUGGGGCUCGCUGUGGAAGCUGAUACCCAUCCCAUUAGCAUACAUCACCCUCAGGGUACCAUUAUUACAGAGCUGGUAGCUGUUCCGAACUUGAUCUGGAAAAAUGUUUCCAUGGUACUUUGCAGCCAUUAGUCGAAGGCUGCCUUCAAUUAGCACACAUACAUACCAUGUGAAGGUUGCUGGUCUAGCCACAGGCCAGAUCCACUACAAAUCAAAGCCCAGGAUUCUUUCUUUGAGAAAAUGGAGAGAAGAAGUCAACCUUCCCCAUCCUCAUGCUUUUACUGCCGACUGCACCUGAUACCACCCCCACUCAAGAGAACUCUGAAGAGACUCAAAUACAUCAGGGAGCUGGAGUCAGUGGAUACACUGCUUCCUGACUGUCUGGGCAAAGGAGCUGGCCUGGGCUGGCCUCUGAGAUGUCAGCUUUUGGGGCAGUGAGCAAGUGUGUACCUGUCGCUCCUGUGACUCCAGCCGUCACACGCAGAAGGACAGAAUCUACAUCAUUAAUCAUUUGGCAGAGCAGAAAUAGAGUCAUUGAAACAGGCUCCGCUGUGGGAUAAUAGUCCAGAAAUGUCACCAUUUAUCUACUGAGAGGACACUU
rnacentral:lncRNA from 1 species